rnacentral:rRNA from 1 species
AAAUUGAAGAGUUUGAUCAUGGCUCAGAUUGAACGCUGGCGGCAGGCCUAACACAUGCAAGUCGAGCGGAAACGAGUUAUCUGAACCUUCGGGGAACGAUAACGGCGUCGAGCGGCGGACGGGUGAGUAAUGCCUAGGAAAUUGCCCUGAUGUGGGGGAUAACCAUUGGAAACGAUGGCUAAUACCGCAUGAUGCCUACGGGCCAAAGAGGGGGACCUUCGGGCCUCUCGCGUCAGGAUAUGCCUAGGUGGGAUUAGCUAGUUGGUGAGGUAAGGGCUCACCAAGGCGACGAUCCCUAGCUGGUCUGAGAGGAUGAUCAGCCACACUGGAACUGAGACACGGUCCAGACUCCUACGGGAGGCAGCAGUGGGGAAUAUUGCACAAUGGGCGCAAGCCUGAUGCAGCCAUGCCGCGUGUGUGAAGAAGGCCUUCGGGUUGUAAAGCACUUUCAGUCGUGAGGAAGGUGGUGUAGUUAAUAGCUGCAUUAUUUGACGUUAGCGACAGAAGAAGCACCGGCUAACUCCGUGCCAGCAGCCGCGGUAA